GCGGAAGGAUCAUUACAGCGAAGCGGCGCGAGCCGCCUUUCGAACCACCGCGUACCGAACCCCCCACGUUGCCUCGGCGGGCGCCGGGCGCCCCGCGCCCGCCCCGCCGAACGGCCCCCCAGCAAGACCCCUUCCGUCGAGAUGGCGUCGUCUGAACCCUCCGGGGAAAACGUUUCUGAAACGAAAAACACAACUUUCAACAAUGGAUCUCUUGGCUCCGGCAUCGAUGAAGAACGCAGCGAAACGCGAUAGCUAGUGUGAAUUGCAGAUUUCAGUGAAUCAUCGAGUCUUUGAACGCACAUUGCGCCUCUUGGUAUUCCUCGAGGCAUGCCUGUUCGAGCGUCGUUACGCCCCUCAAGCGCGAGCUUGGUGUUGGGGACCGCCCCUGAGACACGGCGGCGGCCCCGGAAUGCAUCGGCGGUGCUGGUCCCAGCCCGGAGCGCAGCAGACAUGCGGCUCCGCGGGCGGGGCCGGCGCCCGCCGGACAAACGACGAGACCCCUCCACAAGUCGACCUCGAAUCAG
rnacentral:misc_RNA from 1 species